AAAUUGCUUAAAGGGUCAAGUGAAACUAUGAUAAUACUAACCACAUAAUAACUCAUGCAACAGAAUAAGUUUAUCCUAUGGAUGUUUUAAAUAGAGCAGGUACUAUCAGUUAACUUUUUAAAACCUUAUCUCCCCUUUGAUGCUGUUUGAAUUUUAUUUGCUACUUUUCAAAGUGUAAGGUUUAUUUUGUUCUUCUGGGACUGAACCUAUGGUUCUAGGGCACUCAAUGGACCAGUAGCUUAGGAACUGAAGUUCUGGUCUACCAAGCACCAUAAUAAUAAAAACAUUUAGGGAGCAUAUAAUUAAUAAAAGCAACAUAUUUCUGUGUAGUGGUAGUUGGGAGGGUGAUGGAUUUGGUAAUAAAAUGAAUGAGGAUCAUAUCUGAAAGAUAUGUUAGAAAGGAGACUGAGGUUUGUUAUAAUACCAGAUUGAGGUUUUGGAUGGAACACAUAGAGUUAUGUCUUUCUA
rnacentral:lncRNA from 1 species